CCUACGGGAGGCAGCAGUGGGGAAUAUUGGACAAUGGGGGGAACCCUGAUCCAGCCAUGCCGCGUGUGUGAAGAAGGCCUUUUGGUUGUAAAGCACUUUAAGCGUGGAGGAGGCUUACCUGGUUAAUACCUGGGCUAAGUGGACGUUACUCGCAGAAUAAGCACCGGCUAACUCUGUGCCAGCAGCCGCGGUAAU
rnacentral:rRNA from 1 species